AGUUCCCACCUCUUUAUCCCACACAAACUCACACUUUGGCCUCUAUGUUUCUAGUGACCUCUCUCUCCCGUUUGCAUCUCUUCCUCGACGAACCAAAUCGGAGCUCAGAUUCUCUAGCUCUGAGCAAACAAAUUUAUUCCUAACGGAUAGGGCGAGGUAUGUAAGGCCGUGGUCUACUUAGAAGUAGCCUCAAUAAGGCAAAUCGAUUUUGUCGGCUAUCACAUUCAUUUAAGGUAUUGAGUUUUUGAUAUUUUAGAGCUGUAAGGAUUUUGUUCGAUCAUCAGAAGGCUAUAAAUUUGAGUGGAAUGUCGAAAAAAGCUUACACAUAUCCUUCAAUUCCUUGUAGAACGGCCUUGGUUCAAGACCAAAGUGGAUGUUAGAGAACUUGCAAUUCAAUUUGGUCCUUGAAAUGAAAUCCCAAGUAGAAGCUCUUGGACAGUUAACUACAGAUGAUCUGGAAGGAAAGAUUCACACCUCCAGACAUUUCCUCCAUCCGAGGACUGAGGCACAAGGGAAUACCUCUAGUGGUGCAGAUGGACCGAAAAGGAAUGGAAAGGGCUGCAGACUGAGGUGAGUGAAUUAUCUGAGGCCGGACCCUAAGGGGGUAGAUAACUCAGUAUCCUAUUUUAUUUUUGUUUUUAGCACGUCAAAAUUCUUGAAAUCUGAAUCUAAACAAUAAUAUAAUUUUUGGUGGUAUGGUUGAAGAGUGAACUUUGAAUCUUUUCUCUACUUUUUCUUGUAUACAAGAUUAGUCUUUUUAUCGUACAACUGCUGAAUAUGUCUACUCUUAAGUAUGAACCAAAAGGUAAGGAAUAUGCUCUGCCUCUACCUUGAGAAAGUUGAAUGCAUUUUUGUUUUCCUAAAGAUGGCUGAGGUACUUAUAUCAGCUCGUAUUUCCUUUUGGCUUAUAUGUUCGAUCUUAUUAUUAUUUUAGCUAUCUUAAUUUGAUAUACAGUUUCAUAACCAUGUCGUAUGAAAUUUGGUAUAAUUAUUUUUCUUGUCUUGGCUCAUUUUGGCUUUUCAAGUUUAGCUGUUUGUUUGCUUUUCGGUUUCAUCUUGCUCUGUUUGUUUGCAAGUUGAUAUUCUUCUUAACUAGUUAUGAAGCAGAAUGCAAUUUGUAUACUAGUUUCAUUAGCUAUGUUGCAAUUUGUGAAAUAGAAUAUAGUUUGUUUAUCAAUUCAUGUACUGGAAUUUUCAUUGUUCACUGGCCAAAGUCUAAUUUGUCACUUAAUCUUUCCUCUUUUUGUACGGGCUAUAUAUAGUGAUUAUGUAGUGAGGUUUACUUUCUGAUUAGAUGCAAUGACAACACCAUUGUUGUAGACUUUUAAGCUUAGAAAGGCAAAAAUUUAUGUUUACAAUUAUGUGCGAAUGUGGAAAACAUCUUUUUCUUUGGAGCUUUGGAGUAGAUGCCUCCCGCCAAAGCUACAAGUACUAUGUGAAUGCACACCAAACUAAAUAUUGAGGUCUACUAUGCUUUAUAGAAUGCAUUGGGUUAUCAGUCUUCCAUCCAUAACACUAUUGUCAACGUACACAAAUGAAACUGCAAUUCCUAAGGUUCUUAUUUUGGCAAGGACAAAUCGUUGGAGUUCAAUCUAUUCAAGGUUGACAUAACAUACCUAAUGAGAAAAUUAGCAUUGUAGUAACGAUACUUUUUAAAUUUCAUUUUGCAGUUGAUUCUCAUUAGAUCGGAUCUUAAUUUGUAUACAUAUUGUAUUAGUGUAUUUUGGUGAAUAUUCAUUUUGGCACUUUUAAGAAUGCUUGCAAUAUAUUUUUUUUUUGGAUGGUUUUUAACA